GUGGGGAAUUUUGGACAAUGGGGGCAACCCUGAUCCAGCCAUUCCGCGUGAGUGAAGAAGGCCUUCGGGUUGUAAAGCUCUUUCGGCAGGAACGAAACGGUGAGCUCUAACAUAGCUCGCUAAUGACGGUACCUGAAGAAGAAGCACCGGCUAACUACGUGCCAGCAGCCGCGGUAAUACGUAGGGUGCGAGCGUUAAUCGGAAUUACUGGGCGUAAAGCGUGCGCAGGCGGUUGUGUAAGACAGGUGUGAAAUCCCCGGGCUUAACCUGGGAACUGCACUUGUGACUGCACGGCUAGAGUAUGGCAGAGGGGGGUGGAAUUCCACGUGUAGCAGUGAAAUGCGUAGAGAUGUGGAGGAACACCGAUGGCGAAGGCAGCCCCCUGGGCCAAUACUGACGCUCAUGCACGAAAGCGUGGGGAGCAAACAGGAUUAGAUACCCUAGUAGUCC
rnacentral:rRNA from 1 species